GGGACUGUGGGGUAGCUUGGCCAUCCUUCUGGCUUCGGGAGCCAGAAACCUGAGUUCAAAUCUCGGCAGUCCCAC
rnacentral:tRNA from 1 species